rnacentral:rRNA from 1 species
GACGAACGCGCUCGGCGUCCUUAACACAUGUGAGUCUGAUGGCAAGUCUCUGCUUUUGUGGUUUGCUCGAGUGCCGAACGGGUGAGUUACACGUGAGUAAUCUUCCCUUGACUUUAUGAUAACUUCAGGAAACUCGUGCUGAUACCGUUUAGGAGCUUCUGCUGCAUUGUGGGGUUGGGCAAUUUUCGGCGGUUGGGGAUGGUCUCCCGGCUUAUCAGCUUGUUGGUGUGGUAGUGGCUUACCAAGGCUUUGACGGGUAUCCGGCCUGAGCGGGUGACCGGCCACAUUGGGACUGAGACUCGGCACAGACACCUACGGGAGGUCGAACUGGGGGAUACUGCACAAUGCGCGGAAGCAUGAUGCAGCAACGCCGCGUGCGGGAUGAAGGCCUUCGCGUUGUCACCCGCUUUCGCCUGUGACGACGCCUGAGUGCCGGUCAUCGGUCAAGAAGCACCGGCUAACUACGUG